GACCACUAGCAGUGUUUUAUUAUGAGUAUCCUGUUUCAUACUAUUAUUUCAUGGGACUUUUAUUUUGACAUCAUGCUAUCUGCAUGGGGGACUAAUUUCUCCGCGCUCACACUCUUUCAAAUUAAAAGAAACUCAGGAAGGCACGAGAAGGUACUUUGCAAGACGAUGCAUGUUUAAAGUCAGAGAUUGGAAAAUAUUACUUUAAUCUUCAACUAAAGUGUUCCUUGAAGUUUUAUACCACUGUGCUUGAUUUGUUUUGGCAGUAAUAACUUGAGAAUAAUUCAUGAAGUUGCUAGCUAUCUCGUUCAAGUUAAGUUAAUGGCGGCAUCCUUCCCUGGAUCACCACUCUCUAGCACCCUUUGAUAUGCGGAGCGAGUUUUCACGGUGUUGGUGCUAUGCACACUCGUCUGAAUUAAAGUACACCCGUAUGGAAACAC